rnacentral:rRNA from 1 species
CCAGUAGUGGGGGACAACAUGGUGAAAACCAUGCUAAUACCGCAUACGCCCUACGGGGAAAGCAGGGGAUCUUCGGACCUUGCGCUAUUGGAUGAGUCUGCGUCGGAUUAGAUUGUUGGUGGGGUAAUGGCCUACCAAGUCGACGAUCCGUAGCUGGUCUGAGAGGACGAUCAGCCACACUGGAACUGAGACACGGUCCAGACUCCUACGGGAGGCAGCAGUGGGGAAUAUUGCACAAUGGGCGCAAGUGAUGCAGCCAUGCCGCGUGUGUGAAGAAGGCUCUAGGGUUGUAAAGCACUUUCAAUAGCGAGGAAAAGCUGACAGUUAAUACCUGUCAGCCCUGACGUUAACUAUAGAAGAAGCACCGGCUAACUCCGUGCCAGCAGCCGCGGUAAUACGGAGGGUGCAAGCGUUAAUCGGAAUUACUGGGCGUAAAGCGCGCGUAGGGGUUUGGUCAGUUGGAUGUGAAAGCCCCGGGCUUAACCUGGGAACUGCAUUCAAUACUGCCAAACUCGAGUACGAGAGAGGGGGGUAGAAUUUCUAGUGUAGCGGUGAAAUGCGUAGAUAUUAGAAGGAAUACCAGUGGCGAAGGGGCCCCCUGGCUCGAUACUGACGCUGAGGUGCGAAAGGUGGGGAGCAAACAGGAUUAGAUACCCUGGUAGUCCACGCCGUAAACGAUGUCUGCUAGCCGUUGCGACUUUAAGUUGCUAGUGGCGCAGUAACGCGAUAAGCAGACCGCCUGGGGAGUACGGCCGCAAGUUAAAACUCAAAUGAAUUGACGGGGGCCC